rnacentral:rRNA from 1 species
AUUGAACGCUGGCGGCAGGCCUAACACAUGCAAGUCGAGCGAGCGGCGGACGGGUGAGUAAUGUAUGGGGAUCUGCCCGAUAGAGGGGGAUCACUACUGGAAACGGUGGCUAAUACCGCAUACUAUCGUAUUCACCCAUAUGGGAGUAGCUAGUAGGUGGGGUAAAGGCUCACCUCGGCGACGAUCUCUAGCUGGUGUGAGAGGAUGAUCAGCCACACUGGGACUGAGACACGGGACAGACGACUACGGGAGGCAGCAGUGGGGAAUAGUGCACAAUGGGAGCAAGCCUGAUGCAGCCAUGCCGGGUGUAUGAAGAAGGCCUUAGGGUUGGAAAGUACUUUCAGCGGGGAGGCGUUACCCGCAGAAGAAGCACCGGCUAACUCCGUGCCAGCAGCCGCGGUAAUUC